GGUUAAGCGACUAAGCGUACACGGUGGAUGCCCUGGCAGUCAGAGGCGAUGAAGGACGUGCUAAUCUGCGAUAAGCGUCGGUAAGGUGAUAUGAACCGUUAUAACCGGCGAUUUCCGAAUGGGGAAACCCAGUGUGAUUCGUCACACUAUCAUUAACUGAAUCCAUAGGUUAAUGAGGCGAACCGGGGGAACUGAAACAUCUAAGUACCCCGAGGAAAAGAAAUCAACCGAGAUUCCCCCAGUAGCGGCGAGCGAACGGGGAGCAGCCCAGAGCCUGAAUCAGUGUGUGUGUUAGUGGAAGCGUCUGGAAAGGCGCGCGAUACAGGGUGACAGCCCCGUACACAAAAAUGCACAUGCUGUGAGCUCGAUGAGUAGGGCGGGACACGUGGUAUCCUGUCUGAAUAUGGGGGGACCAUCCUCCAAGGCUAAAUACUCCUGACUGACCGAUAGUGAACCAGUACCGUGAGGGAAAGGCGAAAAGAACCCCGGCGAGGGGAGUGAAAAAGAACCUGAAACCGUGUACGUACAAGCAGUGGGAGCCUCUUUAUGG
rnacentral:rRNA from 1 species